rnacentral:rRNA from 1 species
UACGUAGGGUGCGAGCGUUGUCCGGAAUUAUUGGGCGUAAAGAGCUCGUAGGCGGUUUGUCGCGUCGACUGUGAAAACCUGGGGCUUAACUCUGGGCCUGCAGUCGAUACGGGCAGACUUGAGUUCGGUAGGGGAGACUGGAAUUCCUGGUGUAGCGGUGAAAUGCGCAGAUAUCUGCAGGAACACCCGUGGCGAAAGCGGCGAGCUGGAUCACUACUGACGCUGAGGAACGAAAGCUAGGGGAGCAAACAGG